rnacentral:rRNA from 1 species
GAUGAACGCUGGCGGCGUGCUUAACACAUGCAAGUCGAACGAAGCACUUUAUUUGAUUUCCUUCGGGACUGAUUAUUUUGUGACUGAGUGGCGGACGGGUGAGUAACGCGUGGGUAACCUGCCUUGUACAGGGGGAUAACAGUUGGAAACGGCUGCUAAUACCGCAUAAGCGCACAGCAUCGCAUGAUGCAGUGUGAAAAACACCGGUGGUAUAAGAUGGACCCGCGUUGGAUUAGCUAGUUGGUGAGGUAACGGCCCACCAAGGCGACGAUCCAUAGCCGACCUGAGAGGGUGACCGGCCACAUUGGGACUGAGACACGGCCCAAACUCCUACGGGAGGCAGCAGUGGGGAAUAUUGCACAAUGGGCGAAAGCCUGAUGCAGCGACGCCGCGUGAGCGAAGAAGUAUUUCGGUAUGUAAAGCUCUAUCAGCAGGGAAGAUAAUGACGGUACCUGACUAAGAAGCACCGGCUAAAUACGUG